UACGUAGGUGGCAAGCGUUGUCCGGAAUUAUUGGGCGUAAAGAGCUCGUAGGCGGUUCGGCAAGUCGGAUGUGAAAUCUCCACGCUUAACGUGGAGGGGCCGUUCGAAACUGCCGUGACUCGAGUCCGGUAGGGGAGUGUGGAAUUCCCGGUGUAGCGGUGAAAUGCGCAGAUAUCGGGAGGAACACCAGUAGCGAAGGCGGCACUCUGGGCCGGUACUGACGCUGAGGAGCGAAAGCGUGGGGAGCAAACAGG
rnacentral:rRNA from 1 species